rnacentral:rRNA from 1 species
UCACACAAGAGACCAAGUUAAUUGUUCACGGCGUAAAGAGUGGACCCACACCUAUCGCAAUAUUUAAGGUCAAAGUGUAACUGAGCUGUCAUAAGCUUAAGGCACAUUUAAAGCCGCCCUAAAAACGACCUUAAUCCUCACGAUUUACCAAACUCCACGAAAGCCAGGGCACAAACUGGGAUUAGAUACCCCACUAUGCCUGGCCCUAAAUCUAGAUGCUUUCACUACUAAAGCAUCCGCCUGGGGACUACGAGCGCAAACGCUUAAAACUCUAAGGACUUGGCGGUGCCCCAAACCCACCUAGAGGAGCCUGUUCUGUAAUCGAUAACCCACGAUACACCCGACCACUCCUUGCCAAGAACAGCCUACAUACCGCCGUCGCCAGCUCACCUCCUCUGAGAGCAUAGCAGUGAGCACAAUCGCCCUAACCCCGCUAAUAAGACAGGUCAAGGUAUAGCUCAUGGAGUGGAAGAAAUGGGCUACAUUUUCUAACCUAGAAAACUCACGGAAGGGGGCAUGAAACAGCCCCCAAAAGGCGGAUUUAGCAGUAAAGCGGGAUAAUAAAGCCCCCUUUAAGCCGGCUCUGAGGCACGUACAUACCGCCCGUCACCCUCCUCACAAGCUUAAAAUCACCAAUAAAUAAUUCACCCUCCCGCUAAAGAUGAGGUAAGUCGUAACAAGGUAAGUGUACCGG